UACAGAGGGGGCAAGCGUUGUUCGGAAUUACUGGGCGUAAAGCGCGCGCAGGCGGCACACUAAGUACGAUGUGAAAUCUCCCUGCUCAACGGGGAGGGUGCAUAGUAAACUGGUGAGCUAGAGGACGGUAGAGGGGGGUGGAAUUGCUGGUGUAGCGGUGAAAUGCGUAGAGAUCAGCAGGAACACCCGUGGCGAAGGCGGCUAUCUGGACGGUUUCUGACGCUAAGACGCGAAAGCGUGGGGAGCAAACAGG
rnacentral:rRNA from 1 species